rnacentral:rRNA from 1 species
GACGAACGAGGGCGGAGGGAGGAACAAAGGCAAGUCGAACGACGAGCGAUGGAAGCUUGCUUCUAUCAAUCUUAGUGGCGAACGGGUGAGUAACGCGUAAUCAACCUGCCCUUCAGAGGGGGACAACAGUUGGAAACGACUGCUAAUACCGCAUACGAUCUAAUCUCGGCAUCGAGGAUAGAUGAAAGGUGGCCUCUACAUGUAAGCUAUCACUGAAGGAGGGGAUUGCGUCUGAUUAGCUAGUUGGAGGGGUAACAGUCCACCAAGGCGAUGAUCAGUAGCCGGUCUGAGAGGAUGAACGGCCACAUUGGGACUGAGACACGGCCCAGACUCCUACGGGAGGCAGCAGUGGGGAAUCUUCCGCAAUGGACGAAAGUCUGACGGAGCAACGCCGCGUGAGUGAUGACGGCCUUCGGGUUGUAAAACUCAGGUUAUCGGGACGAAAGGCCUUCUUGCGAAUAGUGAGAAGGAUUGACGGUACCGGAAUAGAAAGCCACGGCUACUUACGUG